rnacentral:snRNA from 1 species
AUACCUUUCUCGGCCUUUUGGCUAGAAAGGUAUGUGGACCAUGUGUCCACGGAUAUUAAAUUAAUAUUUUAUGGAGGAGGGCCCACCACGGUAGCUCGCUACUAGGGCCCUCACGUGUCGCCCUGGCUUUGCACUACUGCCUUGCCCAGCGCACUCCCA